ACACACCACUUCUCACUCCCAGGGCCCUCAAGAUCUCACAGCAAGUGACCACGCUGGCUGAGGACUGCAGAGGACAGCUUUAUAGCACAGUGCCACACCAAGCAAGUGUGGCACAGAAGGCCACGGGAAACCCAGGGUGAAGGCCCGGUCCCGCUUCAGAAGCAGUAGGAUGUGUGGGUGACCCAGUGCGCAGACUCCUCCUUGGAGCGCUUGGCAGAGCUGUGGCUGGUGAAGAUAGACUUGUAGGUUUCAGACUCCUCGCUGUCUGCAAUGGACCUCUUCAGGGCCCCACAUGGGGGCUUGCCAACUUUCCCAGACGCACUCCCAUUAGUUGCUAGAAAACAAAGCCAAAACCGGUGAGGCUGGGGCUGAAGAUCAUUCCAAAUGACUAAGUUUUAAAGGGACCAAGUCAUGCAUGCCACUUGGCUAAGCUCCCAAUGUCUUGCUGCUAUUUGGAAAGCAGCUGAAGUAAAGGGGCAGAGAC
rnacentral:lncRNA from 1 species